UACGUAGGGCGCAAGCGUUGUCCGGAAUUAUUGGGCGUAAAGAGCUCGUAGGCGGUCUGUCGCGUCUGUUGUGAAAACUCGAGGCUCAACCUCGGGCUUGCAGUGGAUACGGGCAGACUAGAGUGCGGUAGGGGAGACUGGAAUUCCUGGUGUAGCGGUGGAAUGCGCAGAUAUCAGGAGGAACACCGAUGGCGAAGGCAGGUCUCUGGGCCGCAACUGACGCUGAGGAGCGAAAGCAUGGGGGAGCGAACAG
rnacentral:rRNA from 1 species